rnacentral:rRNA from 1 species
UACGUAGGUGGCAAGCGUUGUCCGGAUUUAUUGGGUUUAAAGGGUGCGUAGGCGGUUCUAUAAGUCAGUGGUGAAAUACGGCAGCUUAACUGUCGAGGUGCCAUUGAUACUGUAGGACUAGAGUGCUGUUGAGGUAGGCGGAAUGGACGGUGUAGCGGUGAAAUGCUUAGAUAUCGUCCAGAACACCGAUAGCGAAGGCAGCUUACUAAAGAGUAACUGACGCUGAGGCACGAAAGUGUGGGGAUCAAACAGG